GGAAUAUUGCACAAUGGGGGAAACCCUGAUGCAGCGACGCCGCGUGGGUGACGAAGUAUUUCGGUAUGUAAAGCCCUAUCAGCAGGGAAGAAGAUGACAGUACCUGACUAAGAAGCCCCGGCUAACUACGUGCCAGCAGCCGCGGUAAUACGUAGGGGGCAAGCGUUAUCCGGAUUUACUGGGUGUAAAGGGAGCGUAGACGGUGAAGCAAGUCUGAAGUGAAAGGCGGGGGCUCAACCCCCCGGACUGCUUUGGAAACUGUUUGACUGGAGUGCAGGAGAGGUAAGUGGAAUUCCUAGUGUAGCGGUGAAAUGCGUAGAUAUUAGGAGGAACACCAGUGGCGAAGGCGGCUUACUGGACUGUAACUGACGUUGAGGCUCGAAAGCGUGGGGAGCAAAC
rnacentral:rRNA from 1 species